GUGGGUAACCUGCCUGUAAGACUGGGAUAACUCCGGGAAACCGGGGCUAAUACCGGAUGCUUGUUUGAACCGCAUGGUUCAAACAUAAAAGGUGGCUUCGGCUACCACUUACAGAUGGACCCGCGGCGCAUUAGCUAGUUGGUGAGGUAACGGCUCACCAAGGCAACGAUGCGUAGCCGACCUGAGAGGGUGAUCGGCCACACUGGGACUGAGACACGGCCCAGACUCCUACGGGAGGCAGCAGUAGGGAAUCUUCCGCAAUGGACGAAAGUCUGACGGAGCAACGCCGCGUGAGUGAUGAAGGUUUUCGGAUCGUAAAGCUCUGUUGUUAGGGAAGAACAAGUACCGUUCGAAUAGGGCGGUACCUUGACGGUACCUAACCAGAAAGCCACGGCUAACUACGUGCCAGCAGCCGCGGUAAUACGUAGGUGGCAAGCGUUGUCCGGAAUUAUUGGGCGUAAAGGGCUCGCAGGCGGUUUCUUAAGUCUGAUGUGAAAGCCCCCGGCUCAACCGGGGAGGGUCAUUGGAAACUGGGGAACUUGAGUGCAGAAGAGGAGAGUGGAAUUCCACGUGUAGCGGUGAAAUGCGUAGAGAUGUGGAGGAACACCAGUGGCGAA
rnacentral:rRNA from 1 species